AUGCAGCCAUGCCGCGUGUGUGAAGAAGGCCUUCGGGUUGUAAAGCACUUUCAGUCGUGAGGAAGGUAGUGUAGUUAAUAGCUGCAUUAUUUGACGUUAGCGACAGAAGAAGCACCGGCUAACUCCGUGCCAGCAGCCGCGGUAAUACGGAGGGUGCGAGCGUUAAUCGGAAUUACUGGGCGUAAAGCGCAUGCAGGUGGUUUGUUAAGUCAGAUGUGAAAGCCCGGGGCUCAACCUCGGAAUAGCAUUUGAAACUGGCAGACUAGAGUACUGUAGAGGGGGGUAGAAUUUCAGGUGUAGCGGUGAAAUGCGUAGAGAUCUGAAGGAAUACCGGUGGCGAAGGCGGCCCCCUGGACAGAUACUGACACUCAGAUGCGAAAGCGUGGGGAGCAAACAGGAUUAGAUACCCUGGUAGUCCACGCCGUAAACGAUGUCUACUUGGAGGUUGUGGCCUUGAGCCGUGGCUUUCGGAGCUAACGCGUUAAGUAG
rnacentral:rRNA from 1 species